rnacentral:rRNA from 1 species
GACGAACGCUGGCGGCGUGCCUAAUACAUGCAAGUUGAGCGCUGAAGGUUGGUACUUGUACCAACUGGAUGAGCAGCGAACGGGUGAGUAACGCGUGGGGAAUCUGCCUUUGAGCGGGGGACAACAUUUGGAAACGAAUGCUAAUACCGCAUAAAAACUUUAAACACAAGUUUUAAGUUUGAAAGAUGCAAUUGCAUCACUCAAAGAUGAUCCCGCGUUGUAUUAGCUAGUUGGUGAGGUAAAGGCUCACCAAGGCGAUGAUACAUAGCCGACCUGAGAGGGUGAUCGGCCACAUUGGGACUGAGACACGGCCAAAACUCCUACGGGAGGCAGCAGUAGGGAAUCUUGGGCAAUGGACGAAAGUCGGACAGAGCAACGCCGCGUGAGGGAAGAAGGUUUUCGGAUCGUAAAACUCUGUUGGUAGAGAAGAACGUGGGGGGGAGGGGAAAGCUCAUCAAGGGACGGGAACGACCCAGAAAGGGACGGCAAACUACGU